rnacentral:sRNA from 1 species
ACUGGGCACAGUGGUGCAUGCCUGUAAUCCCAGCUACUUGGGAGGCCGAGGCAGGGGGAUCACAAGUUGGAGGUCAGCUUAGCAAUUUAGUAAGACCCUGUCUAAA